rnacentral:rRNA from 1 species
GACGAAGGAUGCAAGCGUUAUCCGGAUUCAUUGGGUUUAAAGGGAGCGUAGGUGGCCUUAUAAGUCAGUGGUGAAAUCUCUCGGCUUAACUGAGAAAUUGCCAUUGAUACUGUAGGGCUUGAGUACAGAUGCCGUUGGCGGAAUAUGACAUGUAGUGGUGAAAUACAUAGAGAUGUCAUAGAACACCGAUUGCGAAGGCAGCUGACGAAACUGUAACUGACACUGAGGCUCGAAAGUGUGGGGAUCAAACAGG